rnacentral:rRNA from 1 species
AACUACUGGAAACGGUGGCUAAUACCGCAUAACGUCGCAAGACCAAAGAGGGGGACCUUCGGGCCUCUUGCCAUCAGAUGUGCCCAGAUGGGAUUAGCUUGUUGGUGAGGUAACGGCUCACCAAGGCGACGAUCCCUAGCUGGUCUGAGAGGAUGACCAGCCACACUGGAACUGAGACACGGUCCAGACUCCUACGGGAGGCAGCAGUGGGGAAUAUUGCACAAUGGGCGCAAGCCUGAUGCAGCCAUGCCGCGUGUAUGAAGAAGGCCUUCGGGUUGUAAAGUACUUUCAGCGGGGAGGAAGGUGUUGUGGUUAAUAACCGCAGCAAUUGACGUUACCCGCAGAAGAAGCACCGGCUAACUCCGUGCCAGCAGCCGCGGUAAUACGGAGGGUGCAAGCGUUAAUCGGAAUUACUGGGCGUAAAGCGCACGCAGGCGGUCUGUCAAGUCGGAUGUGAAAUCCCCGGGCUCAACCUGGGAACUGCAUUCGAAACUGGCAGGCUUGAGUCUUGUAGAGGGGGGUAGAAUUCCAGGUGUAGCGGUGAAAUGCGUAGAGAUCUGGAGGAAUACCGGUGGCGAAGGCGGCCCCCUGGACAAAGACUGACGCUCAGGUGCGAAAGCGUGGGGAGCAAACAGGAUUAGAUACCCUGGUAGUCCACGCCGUAAACGAUGUCUACUUGGAGGUUGUGCCCUUGAGGCGUGGCUUCCGGAGCUAACGCGUUAAGUAGACCGCCUGGGGAGUACGGCCGCAAGGUUAAAACUCAAAUGAAUUGACGGGGGCCCGCACAAGCGGUGGAGCAUGUGGUUUAAUUCGAUGCAACGCGAAGAACCUUACCUGGUCUUGACAUCCACAGAACAUUCCAGAGAUGGAUUGGUGCCUUCGGGAACUGUGAGACAGGUGCUGCAUGGCUGUCGUCAGCUCGUGUUGUGAAAUGUUGGGUUAAGUCCCGCAACGAGCGCAACCCUUAUCCUUUGUUGCCAGCGGUCCGGCCGGGAACUCAAAGGAGACUGCCAGUGAUAAACUGGAGGAAGGUGGGGAUGACGUCAAGUCAUCAUGGCCCUUACGACCAGGGCUACACACGUGCUACAAUGGCGCAUACAAAGAGAAGCGACCUCGCGAGAGCAAGCGGACCUCAUAAAGUGCGUCGUAGUCCGGAUUGGAGUCUGCAACUCGACUCCAUGAAGUCGGAAUCGCUAGUAAUCGUGGAUCAGAAUGCCACGGUGAAUACGUUCCCGGGCCUUGUACACACCGCCCGUCACACCAUGGGAGUGGGUUGCAAAAGAAGUAGGUAGCUUAACCUUCGGGAGGGCGCUUACCACUUUGUGAUUCAUGACUGGGGUGAAGUCGUAACAAGGUAACCGUAGGGGAACCUGC